rnacentral:rRNA from 1 species
GACGAACGCUGGCGGCGUGCUUAACACAUGCAAGUCGAACGGAAAGGCCCUGCUUUUGUUGGGUGCUCGAGUGGCGAACGGGUGAGUAACACGUGAGUAACCUGCCCUUGACUUUGGGAUAACUUCAGGAAACUGGGGCUAAUACCGGAUAGGAUCUCCUGCUGCAUGGUGGUGGUUGGAAAGUUUCGGCGGUUGGGGAUGGACUCGCGGCUUAUCAGCUUGUUGGUGUGGUAGUGGCUUACCAAGGCUUUGACGGGUAGCCGGCCUGAGAGGGUGACCGGCCACAUUGGGACUGAGAUACGGACCAGACUCCUACGGGAGGCAGCAGUGGGGAAUAUUGCACAAUGGGCGGAAGCCUGAUGCAGCAACGCCGCGUGCGGGAUGACGGCCUUCGGGUUGUAAACCGCUUUCGCCUGUGACGAAGCGUGAGUGACGGUAAUGGGUAAAGAAGCACCGGCUAACUACGUG